GCGCGGUGCAUUGUGGGGCGGAAGCAGAGAGUCACCGCUCCGUUAGGGCCGCCAUCUUGUCUGCGUCCGGACCUGCUGCUGUUCUCGGGGCCUGCUCGUUCUCCUCGUCGCGUGAAGCGGUAGAGAGAGUGAGGACGCGGCGUAAGGCCGGGCGGUGCUGAUGCGUGCGGGGUCUCCUCGCUCUUCCCUCGGGCGCCGCUAGUAGAAGGGGCGGGAGUAGCCGGGCGGUCUCCGGCGCGGCCUUUCCUCUCGGCCGGGAUGGGUCGGUCCCGCAGCCGGAGCUCGUCCCGUUCCAAGCACACCAAGAGCUCAAAGCACAACAAGAAGAAUCGGAGCCGCUCGCGGUCCCGUUCUCGGGAGAAAGAGCGGGCGCGGAAGCGCUCCAAGUCACGGGAGAGCAAACGCAACCGGCGCCGUGAGUCCCGGUCCCGCUCCCGCUCCAACACGGCCCCCUCCUCCCGCCGCGAUCGGGAGCGCGAACGCGAGCGCGCCUCGUCCCCGCCGGACCGCAUCGAUAUCUUCGGGCGCACGGUGAGCAAGCGCAGCAGCUUGGACGAGAAGCAGAAGCGGGAGGAGGAGGAGAAAAAAGCAGAGUUCGAGCGGCAACGGAAAAUUCGUCAACAAGAAAUAGAAGAGAAACUCAUAGAGGAAGAAACUGCUCGAAGAGUGGAAGAGCUUGUGGCUAAAAGAGUGGAAGAAGAGUUGGAGAAACGGAAGGAUGAGAUUGAGCGGGAGGUUCUCCGCAGGGUGGAGGAGGCUAAGCGCAUCAUGGAAAAACAGUUGCUCGAAGAACUCGAGCGACAGCGACAAGCUGAACUUGCAGCACAAAAAGCCAGAGAGGUAACGCUCGGUCGUUUGGAAAGUAGAGACAGUCCAUGGCAAAACUUUCAGUGUCGGUUUGUGCCUCCUGUUCGGUUCAGAAAGAGAUGGAAUACAACAAAUCUAAUUCCCUUCUCGUAUAAACUUGCAUUGCUGUGAAACUUAAUUUUUAGCCUAUUCAGAGGAGCUCACUGAUACUUAAACAGUUAUUCUCCUAAAACCUGAACAAGGAUACUUGAUUUUUAAUGGAACUGACCUACAUAUUUCAGUAUUGUUUGAAACUUUUGCCAUGGCUGCAGGAUUUAUCAACGGUCCUUUCUUUUCUGGGGAAGGGUAUUAAAAAAUCUGUAAUUGUGUAUCCUUCAUUUGUUUCAUUUUGUUUACCUAGACUGUAAGAGGCUUUUGCCUUCAGUCAGGCAAAGAGCAGGGUCCAGCACUGAGCUGCAGUACCUGUCUUUAACAAAUAGGUUUCUUACUCUUCUUUUGAGACAUUUUCUUUGAGCGUACAUUGGACUAAUGCUGGGACUUGGAGCAUAAGCCCAUCCACGUCUUCAUGAAGGAUCUAUGUCCAAAUCAUUAUAUCCACUUUUAAUAACUACUAACAAUUCCUUUUUUCCCUAGAAGUUAAUGAAAGAGCAGAUUGCCCUUGUCUGAAGUCAAGUCAAGCUGAACAUGUGACUUGGGUUUUUUUUUUUUUUUUGGUGGGUUUUUUUUUUUUUUUUUUGUUUUUUUUUUGUUGUUUUUUUUUUGAAUCAGCAGCUGGAGCAGAAGCUGAAAAUGUCUUUCUGUGAGACAGUAAUUUGCUACUAAGGGCUUUGCCUGCCUGCACCAAUCAUUCCAGGAUCCAGAAAUGUUAGGACAAAUUUUAAAUUUUGAAGAAAAUUUGCGCUAAGCAGUCAUGAGUAUCAAAUCUUUUUUCCCUUUGCACCUUCUUUACUGUUUAUCUUAAAUUAAUACUUUGAUUGGCUUAAAAAAGGAAAUGCAGUGGUGUUGAAGUUUUACCUUCAUACUAAAUAUGACUUGUCUGUCACAAGCAUCUUUAAAAUUUAAAAAAUGUCUGAGUUAUAACAAGUACUAGGGAUAUUAAAUUAUACUUGUUCUGUGAAUCCAGACCUUACCUAUAAAGGAAUUGAAGUUGAAUUUAGAUGUGUAUGCUCAGCAAAUGCUUUGUAUAGGUUUUUAUUUAAUCGUAUUUAUGACUUUUUAAAAAAGUAUUUUUGUUACAUUCAACGUGAUGCAGAGAAGCCCCGUCAGUUCUUUGCAGUGCAGAAUAAACGUCUAUGCCUGGAGUGGAGUGUGCUAGCUAGUAGCUGGUUACUAGUCAUAGUAAGAAGUUUUCUCUUCGUAUGCUUGCUUUGUUCAUAUUAACUUUUUUUUCUUACACAGACACAAACCUCUGGCUUACUUUAAGUCUUCCAAAUAUUAAAAUAAUUUGAAUAUAUAUUAUGUGAACUGAAACACCUCAAAAUCUUUCACGCAGUCUUCAUAUUUAUGGGUUGCAUAACAGAGUUCCAUAAAAUUCACCAAGAAAACAACAGUUACAAGGCUUUAUUUCCUGAUCUUGCCUUCCCUGGAUUCCAGAAUUCCAAGUUCAGACUGCUAAUGACAGUUUCAACUGUCUUAAAAUUGUCAAAAUACUGAAUGUAAAGUCCAUUCUCCCUAUGAAGGAAGCCCAUAGCUCCACGAAGUAUUGGAUUACCAUUUGUAUUUUCCACUAACAGUAAAUGUAUUUUUCUUAUUAAUUGUUUGCCUUAGGAAUGAUUUACAUAUUUUUGUUCCUUCCUAUCAUAAACAUCUGCAUUCCUCAGCUCAGCCUUCCUUGUAUGUUGUUUCUUUAUAAAUGGUUGAGCUGCUGAUGCAGGUAUUGCCAAGCUAACAGUACAAAUCAUUUUAAAGAGGAAGCUGGCGCGUAUGGCAGCCGAGGAGCACACUCUGCAGGACACUGGACAAGACAGAAGAAGAGCGUGCAAAGCGUGAGGAACUAGAGCGAAUACUAGAAGAGAAUAAUC